CAAAAAGGUACAAUUAAAGGGAGAUAGUGCAAGAUGUGACAAAUGUAACACUGAUGAUACAAAAUAUACACAAAAGUAUAUGGGAAGAUUCAAGGUGACAGAUUCAACUGAUACAAUAAUUGUUACAAUCUUUGAGAAUCUUGAAACAAUUACAGGAUGUUCAGCAAGUGAAUAUGCAAGAUCACCAGAAAAGUACUCACAGAUUAUACAUUCAUGUCUAUCCAAACAAUAUUGUUUCUACUUCAAAAUGGAUGCAAGAAAUGAUGGAAGUCGAAUAACAAGACAAAUUGUUGCGGAUACCAUUAAA